rnacentral:tRNA from 1 species
GCGGGUGUAGCUCAGCUGGUAGAGCACGAGCUUCCCAAGCUCGGUGUCGUGGGUUCGAUUCCCAUCACCCGCUCCA